rnacentral:lncRNA from 1 species
GAUGAACAGUAACCCGGACUGACAGCCGGUUACUUCAUCCCGAGUUUGAUCCACUUUCCAGACUCCAAAUUUGAUGAAAUUUUUACCUAACAUUUUACACUCAUAGAAAAUUCCAAAAAGGUAACAUGCAUCACCAUCGGAGGCCGAUUGACCCCCGAAAUAAUUUGCCGAAGUUGGGACUUCGACACAGUUUUUUCGUAGGCCGAUUCUUCCUCUUUUAACCACCUCUACAAUCCUUAUCCGACCCCUCUAGACUACAUCCACCCUUUGUAUAGCCUAAAAUAAUCAAAAGACUAGAUAGAGAUGGAUAUUUACCCUUUUUCUUUUUGGAAAUCGAGGUCCUUGCGUAGAGGAGAAGGAGAUCUACACUUUUUCCUUCAGCUGGCAGCGCAACCGGAAUUUCUUUCCUCCUCGAAUCCCCUUCCUCUUCUUCUUCCUUCUUCUUCUUCUUCUCUUUUUCUUUCUUUCUUUCCUCUCUGUUUCACGCCU